CAAAGGCUUGGUCCUGACUUUAUUAUCAACUUUAGCCAAAUUUACACAUGCAAGUAUCCGCACCCCUGUGAGAAUGCCCCACAGUUCCCCGCCCGGGAACAAGGAGCUGGUAUCAGGCACAUCUCCCGAGCCCAUGACACCUUGCUUAGCCACACCCUCAAGGGAACUCAGCAGUGAUAGACAUUAAGCCAUAAGUGAAAACUUGACUUAGUUAAAGCUAAGAGGGCCGGUAAAACUCGUGCCAGCCACCGCGGUUAUACGAGAGGCCCAAGUUGACAAACACCGGCGUAAAGCGUGGUUAGGGAAAACUCACACUAAAGCCAAACAUCUUCCAGGCUGUUAUACGCAACUGAAGAUAGGAAGUUCAACCACGAAAGUGGCUUUACCAGACCUGAAUCCACGAAAGCUAAGGAACAAACUGGGAUUAGAUACCCCACUAUG
rnacentral:rRNA from 1 species